rnacentral:rRNA from 1 species
GUGGGGAAUAUUGGACAAUGGGCGCAAGCCUGAUCCAGCCAUGCCGCGUGAGUGAUGAAGGCCCUAGGGUUGUAAAGCUCUUUCAACGGUGAAGAUAAUGACGGUAACCGUAGAAGAAGCCCCGGCUAACUUCGUGCCAGCAGCCGCGGUAAUACGAAGGGGGCUAGCGUUGUUCGGAAUUACUGGGCGUAAAGCGCACGUAGGCGGAUCGAUCAGUUAGGGGUGAAAUCCCGGGGCUCAACCCCGGAACUGCCUCUAAUACUGUCGAUCUCGAGUUCGAGAGAGGUGAGUGGAAUUCCGAGUGUAGAGGUGAAAUUCGUAGAUAUUCGGAGGAACACCAGUGGCGAAGGCGGCUCACUGGCUCGAUACUGACGCUGAGGUGCGAAAGCGUGGGGAGCAAACAGGAUUAGAUACCCCAGUAGUCC